AUGAACACCGCCGGUCUGCCGCUUGAUACAACAGACGAACGUCCCCGCUUGACCCCGCCGCCUCUAACUCUUCCAUCCAUCAAAAGGUUGUCCAAAAUGGCGAGAGAUGGCCUGCCUGCCGAGCGCACGAGCGAUCUGUUUGGCUGGGGUUUGUCAGCGGUGGAGCGAGCUCGGUAUAGUGAGCUGAGAAUAUUAGGAGCAAAAGCUUGCCAUGUUGCAGCCAAUAACCCAUUUUUGUUCGAUAAGUUACAGAAAACUUUCCAGGAUAUAAUAUCGAAUAAAGAUGCCCCUGAUAAUGAAGCAGAUGGCCACAGAAGUUCUAUGAAUGAGGAGGCAUGUGAGUGUCAACGAGAUGCAGUUGUUAUUGGUGAUCCUCUAAAAGUUUGCACGAAUGGUGCACCUAAGCAAACUCGAAAAGGCCGUGCAAAUGGGGGCCCAGAAGUGACGAAAAAUGGUAGACCAAAAGCAUUUGGCGAGAAAAGUGAUCGUUUGUGCGGCAUAUGCCACAAACCAGGUCAUAACAGGCAAACAUGCAGCGAAAAUCCAAAUUGUUUUCGUCUUUAUGCAGCAAUAUGGCAUAGAGAUGCACCUUAA
rnacentral:rRNA from 1 species